GACGAACGCUGGCGGCGUGCUUAACACAUGCAAGUCGAACGGAAAGGCCCUGCUUUUGUGGGGUGCUCGAGUGGCGAACGGGUGAGUAACCCGUGAGUAACCUGCCCUUGACUUUGGGAUAACUUCAGGAAACUGGGGCUAAUACCGGAUAGGAACUCCUGCUCCAUGUGGGGGGUUGGAAGGUUUCGGCGGUUGGGGAUGGACUCGCGGCUUAUCAGCUUGUUGGUGGGGUAGUGGCUUACCAGGGCUUUGACGGGUAGCCGGCCUGAGAGGGUGACCGGCCACAUUGGGACUGAGAUACGGCCCAGACUCCUACGGGAGGCAGCAGUGGGGAAUAUUGCACAAUGGGCGGAAGCCUGAUGCAGCAACGCCGCGUGCGGGAUGACGGCCUUCGGGUUGUAAACCGCUUUCGCCUGUGACGAAGCGUGAGUGACGGUAAUGGGUAAAGAAGCACCGGCUAACUACGUG
rnacentral:rRNA from 1 species